AUACGGAGGGUGCAAGCGUUGUUCGGAAUUAUUGGGCGUAAAGAGCAUGUAGGCGGACUAUUAAGUCUGGUGUGAAAGCCCGGGGCUCAACCCCGGAAGUGCAUUGGAUACUGGUAGUCUUGAGUAUGGGAGAGGAAAGUGGAAUUCCGAGUGUAGGAGUGAAAUCCGUAGAUAUUCGGAGGACCACCAGUGGCGAAGGCGGCUUUCUGGACCAAUACUGACGCUGAGAUGCGAAAGCGUGGGGAGCGAACAGGAUUAGAAACCCUAGUAGUCC
rnacentral:rRNA from 1 species